UUCUGUUGGCUCUGUUUCUCUGGAUAUUCCUGACUGAAAUAGUGUUCUCUGUUUAUUUCCACAGUUAUCUAGAGGUUCCAUGAGAUCCCAUCAUAUUUCCUGCCAGCAUAGACUGCAGCCUUGGACCAGGUGUGGUAUCCUUGGAGGCCCCCUGUGCCCUGCUGCUCAUGGCUUGUCAAAUGUGGGCCAAUGUGGUAUGAACCCACUGUAGAUGGGAUCCCUUGAAGAUGAUGUUGGGCCUUCAUCUGGGUCACUGGAGAAAUUCAGAUACAGAGAGAGAAAGCCAUGGGGAGGAACUGGAAGCUGGAAGUCAGCGGGAACCCAGAAGAGAAAGAAGAGGACACAACCAUGUCACAGCAAAGCCAGAGAACCCACUGGAACAUUAGCAACUCCAGGAGGAAGCAAGCCUUUCUGCCUCCAACACCUUGAACCAGAGCUGUGAGGCUGCAGCAUAGGAAGCUCAGUGCCCUGCGGACCCAACCCAGGAUAAUUCUCCUGCCCCCUCAUCCUUUCAAACAUCAGGCCUGCCACCUCGAUCUCGGCAUGCUGUGGGCGAGUGUCCCGCUUUUUUGAACCCAUCUGAGGAGACACCCCCUUCCUCCACCUCCCCUGGCAGGGUGGGGCUGGCAGAAUGGAAUGGCCACUCACCACUGACCACCCUGGUAAGUCCACCUGUCCCUUGCUUUCGAGGUGCUCCUAAGAAGCACCAGCCAAGCUCAAGAGGGCACCGUUUUGAGACAAGGGUUUCACGCAGAAAACAUGUGAAGGUUCCACAUUCACUUGCAUCAUGUGCCUUAUCCUUCAGACAGGUGUGAAUGGAUCAAGGGACUCUCCUGACAAAAAGAGUCAAGGGGCAGCUUCUCCAUUUUUUCCCAAUGAGGAGGAGAAGUCAGUAUGUUCAUGACAUGGGUUGGCGGCUUUUGGGGCCUAUGACCAGGGGUCCUCGUGGCCAUGGGGAGAAGGUGGUAUGGAGUCAGCCUCCUGCCCACCCCCUGUUCGCCAUGCCCUGUGGUGUCUGGAUGCCUGAGCCAUGAGGCCAGAGCAGAUGCAGAGUCAUCAGCAGCUGGGCCUUUUGUUCCUGGGCACAGACGCCUUUCCUGCAUAUGUGUGCCCGGCUCCUGGCUGGAAGCCAGGGCAUCUCAUGGGCAGGAUGCAGCCCUCUGUCCCUCCAAGCAUCCUCCAAAGGCUUGUUCUAGCACAGAGGCUGCUGGAUUCUCUCUGAGAUGAGCCUGGAGGGAAACCUCUACAGUUACAAGAUGAUGGAGCCCAAAGAUUUGGCCCAGGUAGGUCUGCCCUUGGGAUGCAGAAAGGGCCUUUCACAUUCUUCCCAAACCUGGUGGGGGGAUGCAGGGGGGCUUCAGAUGCUGCCCAGGGUGGGUCAGGUGGCAGCCAGAAUCCUGACCCCCUGCCUGUGCUCUCCAGCUGAGCCUUGAGACCCCCUUCCCCCUCUUCUCCUGGGCCCUUUCCCCGGUGUUCUCAGCCUCCUCCCCAAGCUGGGAACCAGACCGGCCUCAGGUGGAAUGCCGACUCCACAACCAACUGUGAGCUGGGCCAGCCAUGCAACCUCACAGAGCCUCAGUUUCCACAUGUGUAAAAUGAUGAUCUGUGUGCUGGGCACCUGGUCGGCACUGAGUACCUGGGCAGCGUAUCCAUCUCAGCACAAAGUGUGGAGGCCUGAGCCUCCUCCAGUGUGGACUUCAGGGGAAAAUGUUGGUUACACAGAUUUGUUUUAAAAGCAUAAUAGCACCCCAUUGCAGGCCCCAAUCUCCCUGACCAGGGAAUCCCCUCCUGGCAUCCAUCAUAUCCGUGUUGUUCUCAGGAGCUUGUGCAGGAACCAUCACUGGGGAGAGGGGAAAAUGCUCAAUUCACCAAUUUUGGACAAUUUCAAAAAGGCAUUCGACACCAUAAAACCUGGUUUGUAAAUAGGAUUGUCUGGAAAACCAGAAGAUGAUUUCCCCCAGUGUUCUCUAGUACCUUCAGAGGAUUCCCCUGCAUGGGAACAUGUUUACUGAGGGCGAGACUUGGUAUUCUCAGCCUGAGGUGGGGAUAGGCCUUGGGGGUGUCCCUGAUGCUGUGGUCAAAAUA